CCCCGGGGGCGUCCUCGAGCUGACCAGAGGCAGUUGGUCCUGCCUGGGCCCUCCGUGGCCUUCCCAGGUUGUCACGGGUCCGAUGCUGAAGCUCUCACGAGACAGGAUACCCCUCUUCGAGUCUCCUCCUUGAACCAGGGGGAGCGGCAUUAAGACAAUUGAAGAACCGAAGUGAAGCAAAAGAUUGGUUUUAAGGUUUUAGAAAUCUUCUCUGCGAGAUUUCUCUUAAAAGACAAAUCCCUGUUAUGAAAAGGACGGUGUGGGCAGUAUUUAAGGAAUUGUGGCGACCUGACGAAGUCACGGAAGAAUAUAAAAAGUACCACACUGCAGAAGGGGUGAGAUGCACGUUGUAGAUCCUAGUCUGGUGUCCACUGAAGCCAGAGGGAUCAGAUCCCCAAGAACUGGAGCAAUAGCCCCCAGGUCAAGCCGCUCACAACUCUAAAAGCAGCUGCAGGGGAUCCGAGGCUCUUCCGGCUUCCAGGGACACCGCCACACAUGGUGUGCUCCCACGCAGCGACACGCAUGCAUACAUAGGUAAGAAGGAAUCUUAAAAAAUCAAUAAACUACAAGUUGAGUCAUACUUAACACAAGUUAUAUUAGACACUUCCAAGACCUGGUGUAUGUGCUGCUGAAAUGUUGAAAACCUUUAAUCUGAAAUCAGGACAUGGGAAUUGCCUGCAAUUUAUACUGGAAGCACUGACAGGAAUAAAGGGAAGGAUUGAAAGAAAGGAAAGAAGAAAGAAAAGAGGGAGGGAAGAAAGAAAGGAAGAUCUGCAGAUUAGGAGGCCUGAUGGUAUACCUAUAAUUUCAGCUACUCCACAGGCCAAGGCAAGAGCCUCAUAAAUUCAAAUCCAUCCUCAGCAACUUAGGAAGACUCUGUCUCAGAAUUUGAACUGUGUGUGUCUAAAGAAGUAUACAUUAGUCCUAGUAUAUUAGUUCAUUAUAGCCAAUAUUAGGAAAAAGGCUGUAUCAGAUUGGUCAGAGAAACAACCUGUAGAAUGAAUAUAUAUGAAAAGGAUUGCUCAGAUUUGCUUACAUGGUUUGGUCUGGGUAGUUCAGUACUGGCUACCUUAACACUCUAGAGGCUGAGAGCCUGUGUCUGAUCUGUCCACAAAACUGGGUGCCUCAGCAGCCUGCUACUGAAGUCCUGAAGGGCUCCUGGAAAGCCAUGGUCUUCAGUCCGUGUCAGAUAACUGACAAGGCUACAUUCUGAGGUCAGCAAACAAUGGCAGUGGUACCUGCAAAGUAAAUUAAUUCGACAGCAUGACCAGAAGACAACCAGAAGGCAAGCAGGUAAAAAGUAGACACUUCCCCUACAACCUCCUUCCAUUUGGCUACUACCAGAAGCUGCUUCCCAUAUUUAAGACAGGUCUUCCAAAGUCACAUCACGUGAUCAGUCUCUUAGAGGUGUGCCUAAUGGUUUAUCUCUUAUUGAUUACAGAUCCAGUCAAGUUUGGAUGACCAACAUUAACCAUGAAAAAUACUAAUACUCAUGAAGUAUAAAAUGUAUAAAGAAUCGUGUCAUAAAUUCAUCUGUAGAAUACUCUGUGCCAGCAAUUGUUGCUAUAUGAGCAACACAGAUGAAUCUCGUGAACAUGAUGAUAAAGAAACUAGGACAAAGAGUCCAUCUUGCAAUAUGCUGUUUGCAUACAAGUGGAGAUGAGCAAAACUGAUCUAUAAUAUUAGAAGUUAGCUGCCUUUAGAAAGAGUGGGGAGGGCAUUUAGAAGAGACUAUGAGGAACUGGGGUAUUCACAAUGUUUUCUUUAAAAUAUGUCUGUUUUGUGAUUAUUUGCUGACCAAUACAUACCUGGUUUGGUCAUUUUUAUAUGACAUACCACACCACAAAAUCCUUCACAAAGUUACUAAGAAAUAAAAAGUAACAAGAAAGUAACAAAAUCAGAAUUAGGACAGUAUUGUGACAGUGCAUAUAGAAGACAUUAAAAGUUCUAGGUGCCAGAUGUUGUGAUGUGUGUCUUCAUCCCACACUCCAGAGAUUGGGGAAGGAAAGAAGCAGUGGUGAGAGGAUUGGGAAGGAAGGAAGGAAGGAAGGAAGGAAGGAAGGAAGGAAGGAAGGAAGGAAGGAAGGAGGAGAGAGGGAAGGAAAGGAUAGGAUGGAAGAAAAAAAGAGAAGAAAAGGAAAGAAAGAAGGGAAAGGGGGGCUGGAGAGAUGGCUCAGAGGUUAAGAGCACUGACUGCUCUUCCAGAGGUCCUGAGUUCAAAUCCCAGCAACCACAUGGUGGCUCACAACCAUCUGUAACGGGAUCUGAUGCCCUCUUCUGGCCUGCACGUGUACAUGCAGAUGCAACGCUGUAUACUUAAUAAAUAAAUCUUUUUAAAAAGGAAAAAAGAAGAAAAUUACCACUUUAAUUCUAAGUGUUAUGUUAUCUAUCAUGUGUUCUACUUUGCUUUCUGUUGCUGUAAUAAGCACCAUUACCAAAAGCAACUUGGGGAGGAAGAAUUGUUUUAUAUUCUACUUCCAGGUCACAAUCUAUCCUGUGAGAAGUUAAGACAGGAAUGCAAGGAGCAGAGGCAGGAAACAUGGAGGAAAACUGCUUACAGGCUUGCUCCUCGCCUCUGCUCAGUCAGCUUUCUUAUAUAAUCCAGAAGGCUCUGCGUAGGAAUGGAACCACCCACAGUGGACUGAGUCUGCCUAUAUCAAUUAGCAAACAAGAAAAUACCCUUACAGGCCAGUCUAACCAAGGAAGUCCCCUAAUUGAGACUGGCUCAGAUAAUUCGGGUGCUGCUGAGUCCACAGCAGAAGCUAACUAGAUCACGUGUUCCUUUUACUGUGAAACCAAUCCACAGACCUGCUUUACCUUGAAAAACUGAAGUUUGGUGUUUAUUAAACAAAUAUCUACAUGGCUAGAUUGUGUUCCCCACCUCAGGGCUGCUCAAGAUUGCAAUGCAUGCAGAUACAUAUUGCUUUUACCCAUUCCUCAAGGCACAUUUGGCUCGCUACCACCUUCUGGCCGUUAGAAAAGGUGCUAAGAACAUGGGUAUGAACACAUCUCUCUGGUAUGUAGUGUGUGUUCUUAGAAAACUUAGGAGCCACAUUAUGGCAGUACACUGUGCAGAAGUUGCCACAUUUCUCCCUCCAGCAGUUACACCUGGUUCCAGUCUCACCAACCCCUCCUACACAUGCUUUCUGAGGCUUUGAGAGAAGCCUCCCUAACAGGUGUGGAAGUUGAGGGUGAAGGUAUUUUUUUAAAGAAUUUUAUUUACAGUGCUACAACAGAGACUAUGGAACUCUAAAGGAGAUUCUUAGUAACAUUUAAAAGCCCAAAAGUGGCUUAACAGGUUGACAGUGCAGUCAGAAUGAGAGCUGUAGAGUAAGUGAAAACAUGAGUUUGAAACGUAGCUUUAAAAAUGUUCACCUGAACCAUUUAACUUGAUAUCUGGUGUGAUUGAAUUUGAUUUUAUUUUACAAGUCUCACACUGUAGUCCAGGCUGGUCUCAGAUGCACUGUCCUGAAUACGUCAAUCCUCUUGUUUCAACGUGAGUGUUCACAUUAGAGCCACCUUGCCUCAUUAUGAAUUAGAACAUUUUUUCAUGUAUCCCAGGCUAGCCUCUCACUUGUUGUAUAGCUGAGGAAGACCUUGAAGUUUUGAUUGUCCUUCCCUGGCCUCCCAAGUACUGGAAAGAUAGGCAAUUUUUAAAAAGGUUUGUUUAUUUCUUUAUUCAUGUAUGUAUAUAGGAGGAACUUUUUUUUUAAAAUUUAGUUCCAUUUAUAAAUUUUUCCUUUUAUUUCCUGAGCUAUUUGGAGUUCUAUUUACAAGAUUGCUGCUUGGAUCUACAGCUUAGCGAGUUUCCCAUUUUGCUCUAAUACUUUAAAAAUGUAAGAUUUUUUAAAUGUCAUCAUUAUGUGAUUUAAUUAAGUUGUGGAAUUGUAAUAAGCACAGCUGUCAUGAGGAGUUUUAGAGAAAUAAAACCAUGAACUGCAUGCCCUGGGCAUCUGCUGUCCCUGUGUUUAACGCCUGUCAGUGAGAUGAGUCGGUUAGAGCUUCUAAUGUAGUACUCUACUCUGUACUUCCCUGAGAAGCUGGGAAAUGAGCAAACUGGCUAGCGAGACAGCCUUCCCAUAGAGCUGAUCAUAGGUUUGCCUGAGCAAUCUUGCCUCGGUGAAUAAGGUAAGGAGAAACAGGAAGGUCCUCGGCACCAACCUCAGCCCUUCACGUGCGUAUGCACGCACACUUUUUUAAAAGGUAUUUUGCUAUUUUCUGAUUGCUAUGUCUAAAUACCUGACCAGAAGUGAUUUUGGUUGCUAGGGUUCUAUGGCUUACAGUUUAAGAAGGGCUGUGUCAUGGCAGGGAAAGGAUAACACAGGAAGGAUUGUGAGGCAGCUAGCCACGUUUAUCAGCAGUCAGGAAGCAGAGAACAGGACAUGGGACCAGGCUAUAAGACCUCAAAGUCAUUCCCAGGGAGCCACUUUGUCCAGCCAGGCUGCACCUCCAAGAGUAGUAACAUCCCAAAGCAGCGCCACCAGCUGGAUGCAGAGUCGAAACACAUGAGUCUAGCCGUGUUUUAAUUCAUUUGAGUUGACUUAUGAAAGAGAGUCAGAGUAUCUAGUGCCCUUGUCUAAGUGCACUAACAAACACCCUGUUUUCCCACCUCCAUUUGUUGAUGUUUGCUUUUAUCCAACAUCUGUUUGGGGCGGGUUUUGUCAAGAAUCGGAGAGCCGGGGCUGUAUAUGUCUUAUUUCAGGGACAUUCUGUUCCAAUCAUACAUAUGUUUGUUUUAUGCAUAAACCAGGCUAGUUUUGUUAGAGUGGUUCUGUAGUGUGUAUGAAAUCAGGUAUUUGAUUCCUUUAGAGUUGUUCUUUCUGUUGUUUGACUAUUUGGAGUCCAUGUAAAUUUUAGGAUUUUUUUUUCUAGUUUUGUGAAGAAUGUUGUUGGUAUUUUGAUGGCAUUGUCAUUUAAUCUGUAGAUUGUGAAUUGCAAAUAUGACCAUGUUAAAUACAGUCAUUCCAUCUGAUCCAUGAACAAAGUAGGCAUGUCCAUCUUCUUUUUUUUUUUUUCUUUUUUCUUUUUUCUUUUUUUCGGAGCUGGGGACCGAACCCAGGGCCUUGCACUUGUUAGGCAAGCGCUCUACCACUGAGCUAAAUCCCCAACCCCGCAUAUCCAUCUUCUAAUGUUGUCCUUAAUUUCUCUGUUUAGUCUUCAGUGCUAAGUUUCAUCUCUUUGAUUAAGUUGUCGUUGUUACCCCGUGUAACCCUAGUCGGCCAGGACCUCUGUUUGUAGAUCCGGCUGGCCUCAAACUCACAGAGAUCCCCCGCCUUUUCCUCCCCAGCACUGGGAUUAAAGGCAUGAGGGAGGUCCCACCAAAGGCUUUUUGUUGAGUUUGUUCCUAAGUGUUUUCUUUUGGUUUCAUUAGUGAUUGAACCCAGGGCCUUGUGCGUAGUGGACAACUGCUUUACCCCUGAGCUAUACCUGCAUGUUUGGCUUAUAAGUGGGCUUCUUUUCCUGAUCUGUUUCUCCAUAAACUCAUUACUGGUUGUGAAAAGAAGUUUAAUACUGCUACUUUGACAGACUUAUCACCUCUACAGUGUUUUGGCAGAGUCCGUAGGGUCUGCUAGGUAUAGAGUCGUGCCAUCUGCAACAGGGGUGGCUUGGCUGACUCCUCCCUUUGCUCUCUGUGCCUCUAUUGUGUUCUUGUGCCUAAUUUGUUUUGGCUAAAAUUUGAAUCCCUAACCGAGCCUCGGGGGAAGUGAAGGACCCUAGGGGCUUUGCCAGCCUUAUACCCACCCACCUUGGGGCAAGGCUAGGCCAGGUUCCAGCUUCCUGCCUCAGGGCAAGGCUAGACCUUGUUCCAUUCUCCACCCACAGUUCUUGGGAGGAGCAGGACAUUCUUGAAAAACCACAGAAUGUACUACUGACAGUCACCUGACCCUCUGGUCCCAGAUAGAGUUUGAAUGCCUGUCGUAUGCUUGCUAGCCAAUGGAUUCAAAGGUCAAUAUGCUUAGCCAAUAAGUUUAAACUGUAACCUUGCUGGUGUAACCUGUACCCCUAAAAAGUAUAAAACUUGCUUGUUAUAGCCAUUCCGGGUCUCCGUCUAGUCACUCGUGAGAGGCUGAUUGGAGGUCGACCCCAACACGCCAGAAAAAUAAACCUCUUGUGUUUGCAUUGAA